rnacentral:rRNA from 1 species
GACGAACGCUGGCGGCGUGCUUAACACAUGCAAGUCGUACGGUAAGGCCCUUUCGGGGGUACACGAGUGGCGAACGGGUGAGUAACACGUGAGUAACCUGCCCACAACUUUGGGAUAACGCUAGGAAACUGGUGCUAAUACUGGAUAUGUGCUCCUGCUGCAUGGUGGGGGUUGGAAAGCUCCGGCGGUUGUGGAUGGACUCGCGGCCUAUCAGCUUGUUGGUGGGGUAGUGGCCUACCAAGGCGGCGACGGGUAGCCGGCCUGAGAGGGUGACCGGCCACAUUGCGACUGCGAUACGGCCCAGACUCCUACGGGAGGCAGCAGUGGGGAAUAUUGCACAAUGGGCGCAAGCCUGAUGCAGCAACGCCGCGUGCGGGAUGACGGCCUUCGGGUUGUAAACCGCUUUCAGCAGGGACGAAGCUUUUUGGGACGGUACCUGCAGAAGAAGCACCGGCUAACUACGU